rnacentral:lncRNA from 11 species
CCUUGAAUGUCUCAACCCCGGAAACCCUCAUAAUAGGUUAGAAAUGACUUGAAGACAGCAAGCUAUAAAAACCGAUAACCUGGUGCCAUAAACCCAAGUGAAUGCUAAAAACAGAAGUACCAAUUGUCACUGUAAGGAGAUCACUUCGAGAUUGUUGAUGGUAAACAGAAACUCUUACGUGUGCCCGUGAGCCCAGAGUCACCCUGCAAAACAAUGAUGCACCACUCAGAUUUGCAGAAUAAAUAAUACAAGAACUUUACUAAUUCCAAGAAAUCCAAAGAACAAUGGUUAUAGACAAAAAUACUGAAGAGCCAAAGAUUCUCCACCAAAGGCAUGGACUUCAUGUUUACCAACGAUUCUUCACCAAUGGCAUGGACUCUGAACUUGUGUAAUUUUAAAUUGAUGUUUUUAUAAUUGAUGUUUUAAUUAUUUGUUUUUGACUGUAAUUGUUUUAUAACAAUUUGGCAUCUAAUGAUUGCUGGUUUUGAGACUGUCCUGAUUCCCCCCACCCCCAAGGGUGAGAAGGAUGGG